rnacentral:rRNA from 1 species
AGUGAACGCUAGCGGUAGGCCUAACACAUGCAAGUCGAACGGCAGCACAGUAAGAGCUUGCUCUUACGGGUGGCGAGUGGCGGACGGGUGAGGAAUACAUCGGAAUCUAAUUUUUCGUGGGGGAUAACGUAGGGAAACUUACGCUAAUACCGCAUACGACCUACGGGUGAAAGCAGGGGAUCUUCGGACCUUGCGCGAUUGAAUGAGCCGAUGUCGGAUUAGCUAGUUGGCGGGGUAAAGGCCCACCAAGGCGACGAUCCGUAGCUGGUCUGAGAGGAUGAUCAGCCACACUGGAACUGAGACACGGUCCAGACUCCUACGGGAGGCAGCAGUGGGGAAUAUUGGACAAUGGGCGCAAGCCUGAUCCAGCCAUACCGCGUGGGUGAAGAAGGCCUUCGGGUUGUAAAGCCCUUUUGUUGGGAAAGAAAAGCAGCAGGUUAAUACCCCGCUGUUCUGACGGUACCCAAAGAAUAAGCACCGGCUAACUUCGUG